UUUUGUUUUAUAGUUAACAAAAAUAGCAAAAGCGGUGAUCGGAGAAAUAAUGAGAGGAAAUGACUUCUAGAUGCAUUGAGUGACGAGAAAAAAGAGAGAUACGAAAGUUACCAAAAUGUCUUGGCCAACCCAAAAUACGAUGUGUGUCAUUUGAUAAACCAGAAAACAGCAAACGCCAAACAAAAAAUAUUCACUAAAAGCGAAAACACUGACAUUGUUCCAAGCAAAGCGAGCUUCACAAAUUUCUGGCCAAGAUGUCUGCAUUUUCUGCAGGCGGAUCAAACAUAUAUCUAUUAAGAGAUGUUGCAAGAAACAGAGAGAAGUGAACCCUUAUUUCUAAAAAGUAAAAUCACAUCAAUUCAUACCAACAGAGAGACAUUCUUGCCUUCAAAAACCCAUUGCUAAAGAAUUAAAUCCUAUUUCCAAUACGAAGUUUGAAAAUUUGGUGAAAAUAGUUGACAAUUUCUCCAGCCCACAACGCCGAUUUGGUGAACCGCCGACACCAUGGACAACCAGAGUUGGUGGAGAUGAUGCGCUAACAGUGUGACGACAACCUGAUCUUAGAAACAUUGACGGAUUACAAAUCGUUCUGAUUUUGCUUUUUCUCGGCGUUGUCGCCGAAGUGAGAGAGAGAGGAGGAAGAAAAAUCAUGGGAUUAAUUUUUUUUACCUUUAAUAUUUACCAAUACAACCAAUAAAAUGUUGUCACGUCGCUCCCGCACUAAACCUAAGAGCGCCUCUAAGCUAAGAACUGCUCUAAGGUUUAUUGAUCAUUUAACAUUAAAUUUCAAUCUUUAAUUAACCUAAGAAACCUCUAAAAUUCCCCAUGUAAUGAUGCUCUUACAACUGUGAAAAGAAAGACUAAGAAUCACUUUUGAGUUUUGAAAUAUAUAUGUAUUUAUUAUAUUGGUCGUCUAAUGUGGUGUUUAGGUCAACUUAAAUGGCUUAAAUAUUAGGAGUAUUUGCAAACCUACCAUUUUUAUACUAUUCUUUUGUAACAAUAUCCUUAUCGUUUGGGAUUAUUAUGUUUAGCGGAAAAGAGGAACAUUUAUGGCAGGAAGCACAAGUUGAGCUUCAUGUUGAAAGCCAUGAUCAUUUGAAUUUAGGAGCUCGAUCUCGGGUGAGGGAUAUCUCACAGCAUACUAACUAUUCAGGUUUUCUUUGUUUUGUUGACGGAUCAUGGAAAGAAAGUGAUCAAUUUUCCGGAUUAGGAUGGUGUUGUACAUCAUCAUCAGGAGAGUCACCUACCAUGUGCGCCGUUAAUCUUCGUAGAGGUCGAUCUCCUCUAUAUACAGAAGUGGAAGCUCUUCUUUGGGCGAUGAAGUAUAUGAUUGGAGAAGACAACCAAUACGUAGCUUUCUUUACAGACUGUUCAGAUUUGGUGAAGAUGGUGUGUUCCCUAAACGAAUGGCCUACAUUCACUUUGUAUUUGGAGGAAUUGCAAAACGACAAUGAAGAAUUCACAAAGUUCUCUUUAUCUUUAACUAGAUAAGGCCCGCCUAUAUAAGCGGGUCUAAGAUAUAAAUUUUAUUGUUAUUAUUGAAUUUCGAAUAGUAAAAUAGUAAUCUUCACAAAAAUUUUGAUAUUUAACUUAAUAAUAUUACAUAUUCUAUUUUAUAAUAAUUUUUAUU
rnacentral:sRNA from 1 species